rnacentral:piRNA from 1 species
UGAAAAAUGGGCCUCCCUGAUGUGUGAU